rnacentral:rRNA from 1 species
AGCGUACACGGUGGAUGCCCUGGCAGUCAGAGGCGAUGAAGGACGUGCUAAUCUGCGAUAAGCGUCGGUGAGGUGAUAUGAACCGUUAUAACCGGCGAUUUCCGAAUGGGGAAACCCAGUGUGUUUCGACACACUAUCAUUAACUGAAUCCAUAGGUUAAUGAGGCGAACCGGGGGAACUGAAACAUCUAAGUACCCCGAGGAAAAGAAAUCAACCGAGAUUCCCCCAGUAGCGGCGAGCGAACGGGGAGGAGCCCAGAGCCUGAAUCAGUGUGUGUGUUAGUGGAAGCGUCUGGAAAGGCGCGCGAUACAGGGUGACAGCCCCGUACACAAAAAUGCACAUGCUGUGAGCUCGAUGAGUAGGGCGGGACACGUGGUAUCCUGUCUGAAUAUGGGGGGACCAUCCUCCAAGGCUAAAUACUCCUGACUGACCGAUAGUGAACCAGUACCGUGAGGGAAAGGCGAAAAGAACCCCGGCGAGGGGAGUGAAAAAGAACCUGAAACCGUGUACGUACAAGCAGUGGGAGCCUCUUUUAUGGGGUGACUGCGUACCUUUUGUAUAAUGGGUCAGCGACUUAUAUUCUGUAGCAAGGUUAACCGAAUAGGGGAGCCGAAGGGAAACCGAGUCUUAACUGGGCGUUAAGUUGCAGGGUAUAGACCCGAAACCCGGUGAUCUAGCCAUGGGCAGGUUGAAGGUUGGGUAACACUAACUGGAGGACCGAACCGACUAAUGUUGAAAAAUUAGCGGAUGACUUGUGGCUGGGGGUGAAAGGCCAAUCAAACCGGGAGAUAGCUGGUUCUCCCCGAAAGCUAUUUAGGUAGCGCCUCGUGAAUUCAUCUCCGGGGGUAGAGCACUGUUUCGGCAAGGGGGUCAUCCCGACUUACCAACCCGAUGCAAACUGCGAAUACCGGAGAAUGUUAUCACGGGAGACACACGGCGGGUGCUAACGUCCGUCGUGAAGAGGGAAACAACCCAGACCGCCAGCUAAGGUCCCAAAGUCAUGGUUAAGUGGGAAACGAUGUGGGAAGGCCCAGACAGCCAGGAUGUUGGCUUAGAAGCAGCCAUCAUUUAAAGAAAGCGUAAUAGCUCACUGGUCGAGUCGGCCUGCGCGGAAGAUGUAACGGGGCUAAACCAUGCACCGAAGCUGCGGCAGCGACGCUUAUGCGUUGUUGGGUAGGGGAGCGUUCUGUAAGCCUGUGAAGGUGUGCUGUGAGGCAUGCUGGAGGUAUCAGAAGUGCGAAUGCUGACAUAAGUAACGAUAAAGCGGGUGAAAAGCCCGCUCGCCGGAAGACCAAGGGUUCCUGUCCAACGUUAAUCGGGGCAGGGUGAGUCGACCCCUAAGGCGAGGCCGAAAGGCGUAGUCGAUGGGAAACAGGUUAAUAUUCCUGUACUUGGUGUUACUGCGAAGGGGGGACGGAGAAGGCUAUGUUGGCCGGGCGACGGUUGUCCCGGUUUAAGCGUGUAGGCUGGUUUUCCAGGCAAAUCCGGAAAAUCAAGGCUGAGGCGUGAUGACGAGGCACUACGGUGCUGAAGCGACAAAUGCCCUGCUUCCAGGAAAAGCCUCUAAGCAUCAGGUAACAUCAAAUCGUACCCCAAACCGACACAGGUGGUCAGGUAGAGAAUACCAAGGCGCUUGAGAGAACUCGGGUGAAGGAACUAGGCAAAAUGGUGCCGUAACUUCGGGAGAAGGCACGCUGAUAUGUAGGUGAAGCGACUUGCUCGUGGAGCUGAAAUCAGUCGAAGAUACCAGCUGGCUGCAACUGUUUAUUAAAAACACAGCACUGUGCAAACACGAAAGUGGACGUAUACGGUGUGACGCCUGCCCGGUGCCGGAAGGUUAAUUGAUGGGGUUAGCGGCAACGCGAAGCUCUUGAUCGAAGCCCCGGUAAACGGCGGCCGUAACUAUAACGGUCCUAAGGUAGCGAAAUUCCUUGUCGGGUAAGUUCCGACCUGCACGAAUGGCGUAAUGAUGGCCAGGCUGUCUCCACCCGAGACUCAGUGAAAUUGAACUCGCUGUGAAGAUGCAGUGUACCCGCGGCAAGACGGAAAGACCCCGUGAACCUUUACUAUAGCUUGACACUGAACAUUGAGCCUUGAUGUGUAGGAUAGGUGGGAGGCUUUGAAGUGUGGACGCCAGUCUGCAUGGAGCCGACCUUGAAAUACCACCCUUUAAUGUUUGAUGUUCUAACGUUGGCCCGUAAUCCGGGUUGCGGACAGUGUCUGGUGGGUAGUUUGACUGGGGCGGUCUCCUCCUAAAGAGUAACGGAGGAGCACGAAGGUUGGCUAAUCCUGGUCGGACAUCAGGAGGUUAGUGCAAUGGCAUAAGCCAGCUUGACUGCGAGCGUGACGGCGCGAGCAGGUGCGAAAGCAGGUCAUAGUGAUCCGGUGGUUCUGAAUGGAAGGGCCAUCGCUCAACGGAUAAAAGGUACUCCGGGGAUAACAGGCUGAUACCGCCCAAGAGUUCAUAUCGACGGCGGUGUUUGGCACCUCGAUGUCGGCUCAUCACAUCCUGGGGCUGAAGUAGGUCCCAAGGGUAUGGCUGUUCGCCAUUUAAAGUGGUACGCGAGCUGGGUUUAGAACGUCGUGAGACAGUUCGGUCCCUAUCUGCCGUGGGCGCUGGAGAACUGAGGGGGGCUGCUCCUAGUACGAGAGGACCGGAGUGGACGCAUCACUGGUGUUCGGGUUGUCAUGCCAAUGGCACUGCCCGGUAGCUAAAUGCGGAAGAGAUAAGUGCUGAAAGCAUCUAAGCACGAAACUUGCCCCGAGAUGAGUUCUCCCUGACUCCUUGA